rnacentral:rRNA from 1 species
UGGCGGACGGGUGAGUAACACGUGGGUAACCUGCCCUAAAGUGGGGGAUAACAUUUGGAAACAGAUGCUAAUACCGCAUAAAACCUAACACCGCAUGGUGUAGGGUUGAAAGAUGGUUUCGGCUAUCACUUUAGGAUGGACCCGCGGUGCAUUAGUUAGUUGGUGAGGUAAAGGCUCACCAAGACCGUGAUGCAUAGCCGACCUGAGCGGGUAAUCGGCCACACUGGGACUGAGACACGGCCCAGACUCCUACGGGAGGCAGCAGUAGGGAAUCUUCCACAAUGGACGAAAGUCUGAUGGAGCAACGCCGCGUGAGUGAAGAAGGUUUUCGGAUCGUAAAACUCUGUUGUUGGAGAAGAAUGUAUCUGAUAGUAACUGAUCAGGUAGUGACGGUAUCCAACCAGAAAGCCACGGCUAACUACGUGCCAGCAGCCGCGGUAAUACGUAGGUGGCAAGCGUUGUCCGGAUUUAUUGGGCGUAAAGCGAGCGCAGGCGGUUUCUUAAGUCUGAUGUGAAAGCCUUCGGCUCAACCGAAGAAGUGCAUCGGAAACUGGGAAACUUGAGUGCAGAAGAGGACAGUGGAACUCCAUGUGUAGCGGUGAAAUGCGUAGAUAUAUGGAAGAACACCAGUGGCGAAGGCGGCUGUCUGG